rnacentral:lncRNA from 1 species
AUAAACAAUGGAACUAUGUGUAUAUAAAUCUAUUUUUAAUCCUUCUUUUACACUUUUGGUAUACGAUUAUAUUUCUACUCAAAUGUGUACUAUGCCUUUACUAUAUUUUUGUUGACGUGGAUAUAGUAUAGUUAUAUAUAUAAUGGAUGCAGAAAGAAAUUUACGGGGAGCAGGAAGCAAUUUCUUCUUCUCACCAGAAUAUUUUUAUCCCACAAAUUCGCAAGCCCAUCACUGGACAC